rnacentral:lncRNA from 1 species
UUCAAUUUAUAAUGAUCUAUCAGUGGUCUUAUAUUCCCAACAUCGGAUCGGUACAGCUUUCUUGUACUUGCCUAAUUGUUUCCUAAAUUGAUCUUCUAUAGAUGCCUAAGUACAAAUAGUUUGCAUUAUUCAAGUUGACAACACAUUAACUUUAAUUGGAUGUGUAUCAAUAUUCAAGGAUUCCAUAGAUUUUCUGAAUGAAAUAUGAUUUUGGAUAUGAUGUUUAAUAUUCUUCGCCAUCAACUGUCUCUGAUGAACUCCCUCCACCCUCCUCUCCCC